rfam:Cronobacter sp. DJ34 Bact_A5_1, whole genome shotgun sequence.
UGCUGUAAGGCGCGUUCUGUGAGCUGAGUCACUUUAAACGGCGGGCGCGGCUCAGUAUCAUCCCCUCAAGGAGACCCUCAUCGUUUUGGCGGUGGGGGUUUUUCUUUGGA